AUGCAAGUCGAACGAACCUUCGGGUUAGUGGCGGACGGGUGAGUAACGCGUGAGAAUCUGCCCUCAGGAGGGGGAUAACAGCUGGAAACGGCUGCUAAUACCCCAUAUGCCGCGAGGUGAAAUGAAUUUCGCCUGAGGAUGAGCUCGCGUCUGAUUAGCUAGUUGGUGUAGGUAAAGGCUCACCAAGGCAUCGAUCAGUAGCUGGUCUGAGAGGAUGAUCAGCCACACUGGGACUGAGACACGGCCCAGACUCCUACGGGAGGCAGCAGUGGGGAAUUUUCCGCAAUGGGCGAAAGCCUGACGGAGCAACGCCGCGUGAGGGAUGAAGGCCUCUGGGCUGUAAACCUCUUUUAUCAAGGAAGAAGAUCUGACGGUACUUGA
rnacentral:rRNA from 1 species